AGAGUUUGAUCAUGGCUCAGGACGAACGCUGGCGGCGUGCCUAAUACAUGCAAGUCGAGCGGACCGACGGGAGCUUGCUCCCUUAGGUCAGCGGCGGACGGGUGAGUAACACGUGGGUAACCUGCCUGUAAGACUGGGAUAACUCCGGGAAACCGGGGCUAAUACCGGAUGCUUGAUUGAGCCGCAUGGUUCAAUUAUAAAAGGUGGCUUUCAGCUACCACUUACAGAUGGACCCGCGGCGCAUUAGCUAGUUGGUGAGGUAACGGCUCACCAAGGCGACGAUGCGUAGCCGACCUGAGAGGGUGAUCGGCCACACUGGGACUGAGACACGGCCCAGACUCCUACGGGAGGCAGCAGCAGGGAAUCUUCCGCAAUGGACGAAAGUCUGACGGAGCAACGCCGCGUGAGUGAUGAAGGUUUUCGGAUCGUAAAACUCUGUUGUUAGGGAAGAACAAGUACCGUUCGAAUAGGGCGGUACCUUGACGGUACCUAACCAGAAAGCCACGGCUAACUACGUGCCAGCAGCCGCGGUAAUACGUAGGUGGCAAGCGUUGUCCGGAAUUAUUGGGCGUAAAGCGCGCGCAGGCGGUUUCUUAAGUCUGAUGUGAAAGCCCCCGGCUCAACCGGGGAGGGUCAUUGGAAACUGGGGAACUUGAGUGCAGAAGAGGAGAGCGGAAUUCCACGUGUAGCGGUGAAAUGCGUAGGGAUGUGGAGGAACACCAGUGGCGAAGGCGACUCUCUGGUCUGUAACUGACGCUGAGGCGCGAAAGCGUGGGGAGCGAACAGGAUUAGAUACCCUGGUAGUCCACGCCGUAAACGAUGAGUGCUAAGUGUUAGAGGGUUUCCGCCCUUUAGUGCUGCAGCAAACGCAUUAAGCACUCCGCCUGGGGAGUACGGUCGCAAGACUGAAACUCAAAGGAAUUGACGGGGGCCCGCACAAGCGGUGGAGCAUGUGGUUUAAUUCGAAGCAACGCGAAGAACCUUACCAGGUCUUGACAUCCUCUGACAACCCUAGAGAUAGGGCUUCCCCUUAGGGGGCAGAGUGACAGGUGGUGCAUGGUUGUCGUCAGCUCGUGUCGUGAGAUUUGUA
rnacentral:rRNA from 1 species